rnacentral:tRNA from 1 species
GCAGGGGUAGCCAAGCGGAUAAAGGCGCAAGGUUCAGGGCCUUGUGGCGCAGGCCUUCGUGGGUUCGAAUCCCACCCCCUGCA